AUUUGCUGCCAUGAGUUCUAACAGAGAACUACCUAAUCAUAGCAAAAAAGGGUCCAUGGACAGCAAAUCCCAGGAAUGUAGCCUGAAGCCUCAAACUCUGGAGAAGGGCCAAGCAUAAAGCUCCCCUUCUUAACUUGAGUCCAUUCACUUGGACACAGAGGCCAUUUAUAGAUGCUAAAUUUUACUUAGUGGCUGUGUUGCAAAAGCCAAAAAUAAAUCAAUUUGUUAUUUAAACUCCACAGAUGUUGUUCACAUUUGUUUAAAGCCUUGGUUCCCAGGCUUGCCAGUGACUGCAAGGUGUAAAUUAGCUGUUGUCAUACUGAAGUCAGCUGAGUGCAGUAACUUGAGACUACACAGGAGUCAUGUAAAGCUACUGUACAGGAAGUUAGAAUCAUACCCUUUCUCAAGGACCUGGUAUACAAGGAGCAUAAAGAAGGUAUAA
rnacentral:lncRNA from 1 species